AGAGGGAAAAACCUCCAGUCACAACGCGCGUAAAACAGCGCCUCCCAGUGUUCACACUUUGCAUUGCAGUAGGAUCAAAGGGACUUAAGACCGGUGAAAAGUGGUUAUAAAUCAUAAACUGUUAAGUUUCAAGACGUACAAGGGCCCCAAAACCCUCCAUUAGACUACACCUGCACUCAGGAGGCGACAACAGACACCAUUCAGCACGCCAACUACCCCCGCGAGAGGCUCGUGCGCUUUCACCUGGUGACAGGAUGCAGGCGUCGAGGGAGCAACGGCAGUGAGAAGGAAACAGCUCGGCUUGAAAGACAAAAGUAACCAUCCCGCUAAACAGAACUUGGUGGAGUCGUCACCACAGACAGAUGCAGGCAUGCAUAAACUCUACACAGGUCAGUCUCGACUUUUCCUCCUGAGGCGGCUUAAGUUGGGUGAGUAACUGCAUCAGUGGAAGAUGUUGGUGGACUGGAAGCAGACUGCUCGUUACAGCUGUGUGAAAGACAAUUGCUCAAAAGUUACUCUUUGCUUAAAAAAAAAGGCUCGAACAACAAGCCAAGAAAAAGACACAAAACUGGUUUUGUACUUAUUCUUCCUGAAGGAAAUAGUUGUUCUGUUGUGUCAUUUUCCACUCACAAGAAGGCCAAACACCUGCUCAGAUUGUCAAAACAAACUCUCCGAUGGGGUCUUUUAUUAAGCCGGGGUCCAUGGUCUGGUGUAUACCCAUUUGGGGCUUUUUGACAUGAUUAAGAAUGGAAAAGCUCGGUUUGGUUUAUUAAAAACAGCUGCAUAGCAACAGCAGCCAGUCAGUUGAGUUCUACCGUCCUGGGUCUGGAACAGAUGUGGCGAUUCUGAGACGAAAAGCUCGAACACAGCGGAAUAAUGUUUUUAACCUCCGACACAACGCUCGACAGCACAGUAUCAACAGG